CGAAAAGUGCUACUUAUUGACUGUUAAUCAAUAGGUUGCUGGUUCAAGUCCAGCUCG
rnacentral:tRNA from 1 species